AAAACGUAAUACGUCACAGAGACUUCGUGUCCUGAUGAUAUGGCGAGCUGCGCCGUCCACGUUUCUCUUUCUUCAAAAGGAUAUCGAACCAUGGGUUUGCGCUCGCGCGCUGUUCGCACCUUCGGUGCUGCGCUCCGCGAGGGCGCCGGACGACCGGCGACGGCCUCUGGCCUGUAUGGGCGGCUCUUUCUGAGGUUUUGCUCAGGUUAGGCGUCAACGCAGAGAGAUGGGCCCGUAGCUCAGUUGGUUAGAGCACACGCUUGAUAAGCGUGGGGUCGGAAGUUCAAGUCUUCCCGGGCCCACCAUUUGCACCGGCAAAUGAGGUUUGCUGUAGCGAAUUGUGGUUUGUUUGGGUUUACCUGAUCCUGGCGGUUUGCUGUCAGGUGUUUGCGAUGGUUGGGGCUGUAGCUCAGCUGGGAGAGCACCUGCUUUGCAAGCAGGGGGUCAGCGGUUCGAUCCCGCUCAGCUCCACCAAUUCGCUUGGUGUCGAGACUGAGAGAUAUCCUUUGAAGAAAUAAAAGUUUUGCACCGGCUUAUGGCUGGUGCGUGUUCUGCAUACAUUGUGAAGAGAAGAUUGAUCUGGAGGCUUCCAGGUGUUGUGGGUUUUGCCCAUGAUGUCCGAGCCCAGUUCCUGUGAAACCAUGGAUGGCCUAGCCGGCCGGAUGUGGUGGAGGGAUUGGAGGUAGGUAGGAAGCUUGUCGCUCUGGAUCGUCAGCGUAACCCGCGUAGCGGUUUAUCGCGUGUUGUUCGUUGCCUUUGGGCAUCGUCUGACGGACGAUCGGAUUACCGUUGCCUGACCGCCCGGUAUCGGAUCCAAUCUCGAGAAGCUGGUCUUAAGACAGGAUGCAAGCGAGCUGCUCGGCGUAGCUCCAAUAAAGCAGACCUGUCGAACACGUUAAUGGCAU
rnacentral:tRNA from 1 species